rnacentral:rRNA from 1 species
UACAGAGGUCCCAAGCGUUGUUCGGAUUCAUUGGGCGUAAAGAGUGCGUAGGCGGCGCGGUAAGUCGGGUGUGAAAUCUUGGAGCUUAACUCCGAAACUGCAUUCGAUACUGCCGUGCUUGAGGACUGGAGAGGAGACUGGAAUUUACGGUGUAGCGGUGAAAUGCGUAGAUAUCGUAAGGAAGACCAGUGGCGAAGGCGGGUCUCUGGACAGUUCCUGACGCUGAGGCACGAAGGCCAGGGGAGCAAACGGG